GUGAGUGUAGCUCAGUCGGUAAGAGCACCAGAUUGUGGUUCUGGGGGUCGGGGGUUCGAAUCCCCUCACUCACCCCA
rnacentral:tRNA from 1 species